rnacentral:rRNA from 1 species
UUCACAGGUGUUAAUGCCCUGAAGACAUUAAGUCUCAUCUGAUCUUGGAAGCUAAGCAGGAUCAGGCUAGGUUAGUACUUGGCUGGGGGAUCAGAUACUGUAGGCAGAGGAAGGUAAUUUCACGUCAUCUCUGAAC